CACAGAGUGGGCAAGCGUUAUCCAUCCUAACUGGGCGUAAAGGAUACGUAGGUGGAUACUAAGGAUACGGCUAAUUGAAAUUACUAUAACGGAUAGAGAAUUUUUAGCACCUAGUAUCUAGAGAUUUGGGUAAACUAUUAGAAAUUGGCCAGGGAAUUGAUUUUAGGAAAAUUUAUUUUAUCUGGUUAGGACUACCAAUAGCGAAGGCAUUUUAGUUUAACCAAAUUUCUGACACUGAGGUAUGAAGAGCAGGGGAGCAAAAAGGG
rnacentral:rRNA from 1 species